rnacentral:rRNA from 1 species
AGCCAGCAGCCGCGGUAAAACGUAGGUGGCGAGCGUUAUCCGGAUUUACUGGGCGUAAAGCGUGUGCAGGCGGUCGUUCAAGUGGUGUAUGAAAUCGCCCGGCUUAACCGGGCGGGGUUAGGCCAGACUGGACGACUGGAGUGCGGGAGAGGGACGUGGAAUUCCGGGUGUAGUGGUGAAAUGCGUAGAGAUCCGGAGGAACCCCAGCGGCGAAGGCGGCGUCCUGGCCCGCAACUGACGCUCAGACACGACAGCAUGGGGAGCGAACGGGAUUAGAAACCCCGGUAGUCCAUGCCGUAAACGAUGCCAACUAGGCGUCGGCGGUCUCAACCCCGUCGGUGCCGGAGCUAACGCGGGAAGUUGGCCGCCUGGGGAGUACGACCGCAAGGUUAAAACUUAAAGGAAUUGACGGGGGCCCGCACAAGC